GGGCCGUUUUCCGGGAUUAUUGGGCGUAAGAGCUCGUAGGCGGUUUGUCGCGUCUGCCGUGAAAGUCCGGGGCUCAACUCCGGAUCUGCGGUGGGUACGGGCAGACUAGAGUGAUGUAGGGGAGACUGGAAUUCCUGGUGUAGCGGUGAAAUGCGCAGAUAUCAGGAGGAACACCGAUGGCGAAGGCAGGUCUCUGGGCAUUAACUGACGCUGAGGAGCGAAAGCAUGGGGAGCGAACAGGAUUAGAUACCCUGGUAGUCCAUGCCGUAAACGUUGGGCACUAGGUGUGGGGGACAUUCCACGUUUUCCGCGCCGUAGCUAACGCAUUAAGUGCCCCGCCUGGGGAGUACGGCCGCAAGGCUAAAACUCAAAGGAAUUGACGGGGGCCCGCACAAGCGGCGGAGCAUGCGGAUUAAUUCGAUGCAACGCGAAGAACCUUACCAAGGCUUGACAUGAACCGGUAAGACCUGGAAACAGGUCCCCCACUUGUGGCCGGUUUACAGGUGGUGCAUGGUUGUCGUCAGCUCGUGUCGUGAGAUGUUGGGUUAAGUCCCGCAACGAGCGCAACCCUCGUUCCAUGUUGCCAGCGCGUUAUGGCGGGGACUCAUGGGAGACUGCCGGGGUCAACUCGGAGGAAGGUGGGGACGACGUCAAAUCAUCAUGCCCCUUAUGUCUUGGGCUUCACGCAUGCUACAAUGGCCGGUACAAAGGGUUGCGAUACUGUGAGGUGGAGCUAAUCCCAAAAAGCCGGUCUCAGUUCGGAUUGGGGUCUGCAACUCGACCCCAUGAAGUCGGAGUCGCUAGUAAUCGCAGAUCAGCAACGCUGCGGUGAAUACGUUCCCGGGCCUUGUACACACCGCCCGUCAAGUCACGAAAGUUGGUAACACCCGAAGCCGGUGGCCUAACCCCUUGUGGGAGGGAGCUGUCGAAGUGGGACUGGCGAUUGGGACUAAGUCGUAACAAGGUAACC
rnacentral:rRNA from 1 species